rnacentral:snRNA from 1 species
UGAAUAACCCUGACUGUGAUCACCAAAGCAGUUCACACAGGAUGAGGAUCACCCAUUGUACUCUGGGUGUGUUGACGCCUACAAUUUCCCCAACUGCAUAGUUUAUGGUAGUGGGGGACUGCGUUCACUCUUUUACCUU